UACAGAGGGCCCAAGCGUUGUUCGGAUUUACUGGGCGUAAAGGGCGCGUAGGCGGUACUUCAAGUCAGGCGUGAAAGCCCCGGGCUCAACCUGGGAACCGCGCUUGAGACUGGAGAACUAGAGUUCGGGAGAGGAUGGUGGAAUUCCCAGUGUAGAGGUGAAAUUCGUAGAUAUUGGGAAGAACACCGAUGGCGAAGGCAGCCAUCUGGACCGACACUGACGCUGAGGCGCGAAAGCGUGGGGAGCAAACAGG
rnacentral:rRNA from 1 species